GUUAGCUCAGUCAGUAGAGCCCGAGUCUCUUUAUCUCAGGGUCAUGGGUUUGAGCCCCAUGUGGGGCA